GCUACUCAAAACCAACGCGAACCCGUCCAAGUUACUUCGACGGCGUGCCCGGCCGCCUCCUCUAAAGGGCGCCGGGCGCGGCUACCGCGGCCCCUAGACCCCUACCCGGGGCGCGGGGCCCGCGGAGCUGAGCCGCCGGAAGUCCCAAACUCUCUCGUAGCAUAGUAGCAUUUCUGAGUAAGCAAGCAAAAUAAGUUAAAACUUUCAACAACAGAUCUCUUAAUUCUAGUAUCGAUAAAGAACGCAGCGAAAUGCGAUAAGUAAUAUAAAUUGCAAAAUUUAGUGAAUCAUCGAAUCUUUGAACGUAUAUUGCGCCCGGUAGUACUCUGCCGGGCAUACCUGUUCGAGCGUUAUUUCAACCUUCAAGCCCCGCCUGGUAUUGGAGAACCGCGGCCCCUGGCCGUAGGCCCCGAAAAUAAGUAGCGGACUCGCGCGCGGCCCCGAGUGUAGUAGUAUUAUUCUCGCUACGGAGGACCGUAGCGGCGCUCCUGCCGUUAAAGGAACCCCUUUUAACGUCAAAGUUGACCUCGGAUCAGGUAGGAAUACCCGCUAAACUUAAGUAUAUCAAUAAGCGGAGGAAAAGAAACCAACAGGGAUUGCUCCAGUAACGGCGAAUGAAACGGCAAUAGCUCAAAUUUGAAAUCUGGCCCCCCGGGCCCGAGUUGUAAUUUGUAGAGGAUACUUUUAGCAAGGUGCUUUCUAAGUUCCUUGGAACGGGACGCCGCAAAGGGUAAAAGCCCCGUAUAGUCGGAUACCUAGCCUUUAUAAAGCUCCUUCGACGAGUCGAAUAGUUUGGGAAUGCUGCUCAAAAUAGGAAGUAUAUCUCUUCUAAAGCUAAAUACCGGCCAGAAACCGAUAGCGCACAAGUAGAGUGAUCGAAAGAUAAAAAGCACUUUGAAAAGAGGGUUAAACAAUACGUGAAAUUGUUGAAAGGGAAGCGCUUAUAACCAGACUUACGCCGGGCUAAUUAUCCAAUGUUCUCACUAGUACAUUCGACCCGGCUCAAACUAGCGUCGGUUCUCGCGGAGGGAUAAAGGCGGGGGGAACGUGGCUCCUCCGGG
rnacentral:rRNA from 1 species